UACGUAGGGUGCGAGCGUUAAUCGGAAUUACUGGGCGUAAAGCGUGCGCAGGCGGCUUUGCAAGACAGAUGUGAAAUCCCCGGGCUUAACCUGGGAACUGCAUUUGUGACUGCAUGGCUGGAGUGCGGCAGAGGGGGAUGGAAUUCCGCGUGUAGCAGUGAAAUGCGUAGAUAUGUGGAGGAAUACCGAUGGCGAAGGCAGCCCCCUGGGCCAAUACUGACGCUCAUGCACGAAAGCGUGGGGAGCAAACAGG
rnacentral:rRNA from 1 species